rnacentral:misc_RNA from 1 species
AACGCACCUUGCGCCCCUUGGUAUUCCGAGGGGCACACCCGUUUGAGUGUCGUGAAAAUCUCAACCUUCUCGGUUUCUUCUGGAUGCCGAAGGAGGCUUGGACUUUGGAGGCCUUUGCUGGCGUCUCUCGCCAGCUCCUCUCAAAUGAAUUAGCGGGGUCCUCUUUGCCGAUCCUCGACAUGUGAUAAGAUGUUUCCAUGUCUUGGUUUCUGGCUCUGUUGCCUUUGGGACCCGCUUCCAACCGUCUCAACGACGAUUGUUUGUGAGCGCGUCUCCCUCCUCGGGAAACACACUCUCAAACCCCACGAACCCUUGACCUCAAAUCGGGUGAGACUACCCGCUGAACUUAA